ACAACAAACCAGUUCUCGCCUUCUCGCACGCAGUUGAGACUUGAGGACACAAUUGCUAUAUCUGUACCCAAGGCAGAAACAUUUAUCAGUGAUUAAAAUCGUGAGUAUGGGACGCCGUAAAGAGUGGAGGAAGGGAAACAAGACUCGGCUGUUUCUCACAUCCAAACGAAGAAAGAGAACAGGUGCUGCACUUCUGAAAUACCACGAAGAAAGAAAAUUAACGAAGAUUCGCAAUACAAUAGAAGGCUAUUCAGAGAAGCCUGAGCCAAACUGUUCGCAGAUUAUCUACAGUGAAACCGCAUUACAAACUGGAGGUCAUCCCGUAAGGCGACCAUUGCUGCUACCAGAAGAUGGAAUAUCCUGGGUGGUCUGGCUGGCCGCUGGACCCCGCAGAGGGACUUGCUCAGCAGAGUCGUGGGCGCUCUCCGAAGCUCUGUCGCUGAGGGCAGCCGCCCUGAAGAAGAACGCCGUUUCUACGCCACCCACGACGUCACACUGUCCAACCUCAGCUCCAUGUUGAAGUAUGGUACGUCAGCUGCUGGUGAUAGAAAAUUUUCCGUACUGCAGGUGAUAGAAAUUUCUCAGGCGCUGAUCAAUGCAGGAGGAGAAGUCCGAACUGGACUUAGCCAUUGGUGGGACUGUUGGGUACACAACUGUAUUUUUACUUUUAGCGGGCAUGACGUUUGGACCUAGCCUUUUAGAGCACUGUUUAUGGUGACUGUGUCGUUGAGCUAGUCGGUAGUUGGUCGUAUUAGAUGGCUUUAAACUCGAUCUGGACUUUGUUUAUUUCCCCGAUGUGAUCACAGAUGUUGAAGGUGAAUACGUAAGAUUACGUAAAAUACGUAGGUAAGUACUGUUACGCUUACGUGUUGAAAAGGUUGCUAUGCAGAUUUGGGCUCUAUGAGAUGGGGUAUUCAAGGAUAUAUAAGAAUUUAUGGAAAUUUCGAAAAUUUCCGUGUUCACAAUAGUUACGUAGGGCUGAUUGACUUAGAGAAAAGAGAGAGAACACGAGACAUAAUUGCUGCUUAUUGACAGAUUACAUUUCCACAGCGAUGCUGACGAGAAUUUAUGCAUGGGCAUAGAGUGAAGUGAACAUUCGUAUUAGUCUGGAUGCACAGUAUUCGCUGGACUCAGCUGCUACCAGCAAUCAACGAGGUGAUCAGCACAGCUGUUGGAGUUUCAUGCGGUGCUCACGAUGGUACCUGGUGAUUGAGAAGCCCGGCGGUGGACGAGUACGCCCGGACAACACGACUCGCGGGGCGAGUAGGAACUCGCUGCCGCCACAACGCAAUUCAAGACAGGUGACGAGCAGCUGUUAUUUUCACACAUUUUCGGUGGUGUUAAUUUCCAUCACGUAACUGGUUUAGUGAUACAAUACACUUGAUACAUCUCACAUAACGACGCAGCGUAAGAUUCUGGCUAAGACUUUUGUAUAAUUUUAAUAAUAUUUUGUAAUUUUUCAAAUAUGUAGUUAAUUACUCUUAAAAACUGAAUGUUUGAUAAUAUAAUUUCUUAGUUAAACGUCGAUGUUUACAUAUAGUUAUGUAUAUUAUCGCUUGUGUAAAUGCAAUUGAAUUUUAGGAAAUUUUGCCUGUUUUUAAAUCGAUUGCUAUCAAAUAAUUGAAACAUUUAAGUGGAAUAAUUUCUCACCCAACCAAAUAAUAUAUGUAUAUACUUAUAUUGUAGUGUGUGAGUACAUUGUGAUCAUUUGCUCUCAAGUAACUUUUACACAAUUUAUUGUGUUGUAGCCCUGAAUCAAGAAAACGCGUGCGUAAGCAUACUAGUCAGCUUGGGCAAAGAAUAUUGUUGAAUCAUAAUUUUAUUUUAAUGAACUAUUUUUAAUUUAAUUGUUCUUAAUAAAUAUGUAUAGCACCCAUCUUUUUUAUGUUCUUUCCGUUGUGACCCCACAGUUACGACAAGACAAUAUUGAUAUCUUAAAACUCUGAACAGCAUAAUUGUCCUCCGUAUCAACAGUGACUUAGAUUAUAAUCUUUUACAAUGAACACCCAAUCCAUGAUCUCGUAUCACAAACACUUCCAUAACAGUUCACGAUUAUAACUGCUACAAAGAAAAGCUGGAUGACAAAUCAAUACUAAUAUUAUAAAUGCGAAAGUAACUCUGUCUAUCUGUCUAUCUGUAUGUCUGUUUGUUACCUUUUCCCGGCUGAACGGCUGAACGGAUCGUAAUGAAAUUUGGCAAGGAGAUAGAUUAUAUCCUGGGGAUGGACAUAGGCUAUCUUUUGUCUAAAAAAAUAAUCUUUAAAUGGGUUAAAAAAAUACAUCUUAAUUUUAUGUAAUGUGUGUCAUAGAUAUACAAACUGUUAUUGUCAUUCCUCUAUGUCUGCCGAGCAAUAGAUUUCAAUCCAUAACAUUACGUUUUGUUAUUAUAAGGAAUUGAGUAGAGAGUAAGAAAAAUUAAAGCUCUGCAUCGUAGUACCUCAAUACACCCGUAUAUGUCACUGUUAGUUUUUUUAUUAAUCGUUUUAUAGUUUGCACAUCCUAACUAAUAUUAUAAAAGCGAGUGUUUGUUUGCUACGCCAUGAAAUUUUGCAUAGAGAUAAUUUAUGGGCUGGAGAGUGACAUAGGCUCAUUUUUAUGUAAGGUUCCAGUGGAAUUUUGUAAAUACCUCUAAAAAUAAGUAUUUUUCUAUUGUUACAUUAUGUUUGGUUGUCGCAAGGUAAAUUUAUUUAUAAAUGUUUUUUUUUUCCUUCUACAUAUUUUUUCUCCCUACCUAGGGCACCCAUAAAUUUAAAUUUCACGUGUAUGUUUUCUAUGUCAUUCGAGUAGUAAAUUUUUUUUUUUUUUUCAAAUUGGUCAUUAUUUAUACUUUCUGUUUCAUUUUGGAAACAUAUGUUUUUUUUUUUAGGUAUUAUGACAAAUAAAAAAAAUUAGUUUCACUAACAUUCUUAGGUUUUUAUUGUGUGGAUAGUUUCAAGUUUAAUAUUAUGUAGGUGCAUAAAUUCUUAAACUUAUAAAUUUCUUCGAAAUUUGUUCAUAGGUUGGUAGGGCCUACUAAUUUUUUCUAUUUGUCAAUAUUUUGUCAAUAUUGUUAUUAUGGUAGAUAGGAGUACAGUAAAUGCCUACAUUCUUAUAUUCCUUUAUAUCUCUUUCGAUUUCGAGUGUUUCCGAGCCAUUCAGGGUCCUCAGCAUCACCCCCUCCCCCCCUCAGAGGUCAAAGCCCCAGAAUUUCGAAAGUUUAAAAAAUUUUUAAAGUAUUUUUCUUUCGAUUUAAAGUGUUUUCGAGCCAUUCAGGGUCCUCGAAACCCCCGCCCCCCUCUGGGAACGUAGCCCCAAAAUUUCGAAGAUUUCAAAUAUCUAUUCUCUCGAAAUGGAGUGUUCCGAAACAUUCGAGGUCCUGAACAUUCAACCCCCCCCCCCCCCCCUUCCGCAAAAGUGAAAGCCCCAAAAUUUCGUAAAAUUGGUGGAAAUUGUAUUAAAAUUAAGUCAUUACGAACUAAAGUGUCCAGGGCAUGGUGGAACUUUUACCCAAAGUCGACUUCCCCAAUCAAAUUUGGGGGAAGGGGGGGGGGAAAUGCAAAACCCCAAAAUUUCAAAAAAUUUAAAAAAAUUCUUAAAUUUAAGUAUACUUUAUUACUAUUUGGAGUGUUUCAGAGCCAUUCGGGGUCCUCAACAUCACCCCCCCCCCCCCUCAGGGGUCGAAGCCCCAAAAUUAAGAAAAUUUCAAAAAUUAUUCUCUUUCGAUUUUUAGUGUUUUCCAGCCAUUCAGAUUCCUCAAAAUCAACCCUCCCCCUUUGGGGACAAUUCCCCAAAAUUUCGAAAAUUUCAGGAAUUUCAAAUAUCUAUUUUUUCGAUAUGGAGUGUUCCGAACCAUUCGAGGUCCUGAACCUCCGCCCCCCCCCCCCCUCCCUUCCACAAAAGUGAAAGCCCCAAAAUUUCGAAAAAUUGGAGGAAAUUGUAUUAAAAUUAAGUCAUUAUGAACUAAAGUGUCCGGGGCAUGGUGGAAAUUUACCCAAAGACUUCUCCUCCAUCAAAAUUGUGGGUAAAAGGGGGGGGGGGAGGAAAAUGCAAAGACCCAAAAUUUCGGAAAAUUUCAAUUUUUUUUUUAAAUAUACACUUUUUUUCGAUUUGGAGUGUUUCCUAGACUUUCGGGGUCCUCAAACUAACCUCCUCCCACAAGGAGUCCAAGCCCCAAAAUUUCGAAGUUUCAAAAAUUUCAAAAAUCUAUUAUCUUUAGAUUUUGAGUGUUUCCAAGCCAUUCAGGGUCCUCAAAGCCCCAAAAUUUCGAAAAUUUCAGAAAUUUCGAGAUGAAGUGUCCCGGGCCAUUCGAGGUCCUCAACCUCCACCGUCCGUUUUCCUCGGGGUUUAAGCCCCAAAAAUGCGAAAAUUAGGAGUAAAUAAUAAAAAAUAUUUAGUCAAAAUUAAUUAAAAUGUAAAAAAUAAAAUUAUAUUUUGGAAAACUAAAAAUUCGCUUUAAUUGUACUAAAACGUGAAAUAUUGUUAAAUAUUUCGUUAGCAUUAAAAAUAUUUUUAUAUGAAAUAAAACAUAAUUUAUGAUAUAGGAAAUGAUAAAUUAAUGUACAUUAAGCUACCUUCUCUUAUUCAAUAUUCUCAGAAAUACCAUAUUUUUAUUUGUAACAGGGUAGUUAUUAUUCUAAAAAUAUUGAAAUAAAGGUUAUGGUGUUGGUAAGAAUAAUUCUAACUCAAAAUAAAUAUCAUUUUAUUAUAAUUAUUUUGGAAUUCAUAUCUGCUGUUAAAAGAAAAGAAAAAGGAUUAUUUUGGUUUCUGUCUGAGCAGCCAAAAUUGUCAUAUUUACUUAAGUCUCAAUUUUAACAUUGUCGCCCCUAUUGGAAAAUAGCCGAGGGGUAAUAAAUUAGGGGAUUUUGUUAUAGUAAUACUAAGCAAACUAAGAAUCUACUAAUAUGUUUGAUAAGAAAUUUAAGAUAUGUACUUUACAUUACAAAUAAAGAUGUGAUUGUAUCAAAUUUCUUUAAAUAUUGGAAGGUAUUUGUAAUAACGUGAAAUUGUUAAAUUAUUUUAAGAAUAGCUCUAACCUUAAUAAAUAAAAAGUGUCAGUGUAAACAAUGGCAUAAACUUGAAAGUUUAAAUAUAUAUUUUUAAUUGUUGAAAUCAUUAAAUUAAAGGAUAGCAAUGUGAUUUCGACAAGGUAAAAUAUCUUCGAACACUCUAACAAUAAAUUUUUAACAUCAUAUAAAUAAUCUAUACUAAAAAUAAAAAACUACUUUUCACCUAACUUCUUGAAAAAUUUUCAAUAGUUAAGGAUUGUAAGAAUAAUUUCUGUACCUAAAAAUGUAUUGUGUCUAUUUAUUUAGUAAAAAUAUUUGGAACUUUUUUCAUGGUAAGAUUUUAGCAAUACUCAGAAAUUGCGUGAGCGAAGCCGCGGGUUAUUAGCUAGUAAUAUAUAUAUAUUGAUAAAAAACAUUUCCAGUCACCUUACAAAUUUAUCGAUUUUAACGAUACAGAUAUAUACCAUAAAAACAUUCCUCUGCACUUUAAUGACAAGAAGAAUUGCUUAAAAAAGUGAUGUUUUAAGUUUGUAAUCCAGUGACGCGCUCGGACUCCAAGAUGGCGGCCCAGCUCGAGCGCUGUCAGUGUUGCCAUCAUGACGGGAUGGGCGCGCUAGCACGAGUCCACGGGAACGAGCGCGAGGUUGCCAGGCCUGGCGCUCAGCAGGAAGCUGAGGAAGCAGGCCAGCACCACCAACCCCGCGUUUAUCUGAGCUGACGUCGGAUCGCUGCCUGCAGCAGAGGAGGGGAAACCGUGUUAGUGAAAUUUUGCACACUUGUCUGCCUACGUGACAUUAAAAAAAAAUACUCCUUAAGCAGAGUUUUGGUACUUCUUGAUGAAAUUUCAUUAAUGCAUUUGAAAUGCUUUCUUCGUUACCUGGCAAAGACUAUUAAAUAUUUUUACCUUCGAUUUCAAGCGAGUUCAGUUACCCAUCCCACUUGAAAGAGUAUCAUCAACAAGUCUCAGGGAAAAUCACUUCGUGUGGCAGCUAUUAACUUGGAAACACCAUGUUUUUCACAUGAAACAACGAUGCGUGACUUGCUCAAGAUGUACACGCCGGAUAGUUUGUUUAAUUAUGACGUGGAAAAAAAUUGUGUACCCUCAAGCUUUGCAAUAAAAGGUUUUAAAAUACACAAAAAAUAGUUUGAGUUUUUGUUAUCUAUCUAAAUAAUAUUUACUGUGUACAUGAAAUCAAAAAAAUAUAUAUAUCCCCAUCGUACUAAAAGAAGCCUCUGCGAUGCAUUAAGUCCGGGAAAACUGGGUACUUAGCUAGUAAUUAUAUAAAUACAUACACGUACCCCCUACAAAAGAAAAUUGUUAUGCAAGUAAGUAGUAAGUCUAUAGAUCACACAGACUUUUCCGUUGUUAUGACCAUUUUUCUUUCUAUACUCAAAGCUCUAACGAAGAACAGAAGCAUUUCUGAAGCUAUGUCCAUCCACAUAACCGCCGUUUUUGCAUGUCUUGCGUAUGUACCCAUAGUUUUAAGGCGCAUUUUAGUUAAACCUUUAGUCUGAGGUUCAAAAGAACUGUUUCUGUAACACAUGUAGCUGAUUUGCGUAAAAAGUUAAGGAUGUCUGUGUGUCAUGGACUUACGAAAUGUCAAGCAAUUGCAUCAAUACACUAUAGACUAAUAAUUGAAAGCUCCGAGAUUUUUGUGUGAAACCCUGGCGUUGACACCAUGACAGUCCACUAGAUGGCAGACGAUAUGCCCAAUGUGAUCAUGUAAUACAUAUGAUACCAACUUUAUGACAACGCAAAUAACUUUCUUUUCUCUUAGAAUUUUUUUUUAAUCAUGCAUAUUUAAGGGGGAAUAUAAAAUUCCAAAAUUUUGAAUUGUUUAAAAAGAAGUUAUUCGUGUUUGACACCAGAGAAUAUAAUAUAUAAUUUAACAAUUUAUCUUUAAAGUAUUUUUAUAGUCACGCCUGUUGUCGCUAGGUUAUUUUUAACUAUCUCCCCUCUGUUGUUAGCAUAGAACUGUCCGGUAUUAGAAUCGAUUGUAUUUGAUUGCAUGCUGUGACGUAGUUGACGUCACUGCCUAUUUCACUAGGGCCAUAUUGCAACAACCAGAACCUUGAGGAAAUUUUGAUUGAAAACUCAUUAUAUGUUUAAUGAGUAUGAAUUACAAUUUUCUUAGUCAAACAAUGUAGCGAACCGAAAAAUACGGUCAUUUCAAACAACGUAUUUCCAUCCAAUGGUUUUGAAUGUCCCAUAAGCGUGAUGGAGACCAUCAGCUGGCAAUAUCCCCUCCCCCCUGAUGUGUACUUAUACUUUUGUCGAUGGUGCAGCAUUUUGGGUGCUGCUGCUUGUGAAACCAUCACGGGACCUGGUUAAAAACAUUUUCAUGGACAUGCACCAGUGUUGGUUUUUUUUUUGUAUUGUAUUGAUUUCUUCGUGACAGAAAAAAUCCAUACUUUUCCAAAAAUUCCUUUGGAAACCAGUUGCUAAUAAAUAGUUUGUAAUACUACAAGAAAUAUAUUGUAACUUUGUAAAAACCAUAGGUUUUGUUAUUUUUGCACGUGUGAAAUACGGUUUUUCCAGAUAGUUUUGAGUAUUUCUUAUAAAUAUAGGUGCAUAGUUUUAUAUUUCACUUGAUGUUUCAUUCAAGCAUAUUUAUCAAACCAUGGAAAAGAUAAUUCAACAUUUAAUAAUUGAAAUAUAUUUAGUUGAAUUAUGCUUAUUAAUGUGUGCAGUUAAAACUAAAAAUUUAUUUAGGGAACGUUUUACAAAUAACUUUAACUAUUUGAGGUACUGGGACAACACAAAGCAUAAAUACUAGGGUAGGAAUCUGAACCCAGUAAAAUUUCGAACACUAUUUUGUAGUGAUACAGUGGUUAUCAUGUAAGUGAACAAAUUUACAAAUAUCUUUAAUUUUACAUCAAUAUUUCUAACCUAUUUACAAAAAUAUUUCAGUUUAGGUUUGAGAUGGAUCAGUAGAUAUAAUAUAAGUCCUUGAUGGUGAGAUCUGGCUGGAUCUCCAGUUAAAUUUCUGAAAUUUCAUUGGUUAGCUGUUUUUUAUUUUUUAUUUUUUUUGAAAACGGAGAAAUUUCUUUUUUUUUUUUUUUGCUGUUAACUGGACACUUUACAGCGAUUCCGUUAAGGGAUGACACCAUUGCUGCGAAAUUCGCAGAAUAAAGUCAAGUUAACAGUGAGAAUGAAGGAUCAUUUUCUUUUCCAGUUUCCAACGUUAAUGAUGCAGACCGGAUUUAUAUCAGUCAUUGAUACGUUAUAUGAAUUAAUUUUGCAAUGGGGAACAUUGGUUUAAAACAUCUCCAUGGACAUACCAGCAAUAGCGUAUGUACACAGUGUAAUUUUGUUUAUUUGUAAAUGGAUAUGAAAUUGUCAUGUAAAUUACUGAUAUUUACAUUAAAUCAACCUUAUAUUUCACAAUUAGGUAGCUAUUCAGUAUACAGUUAUACAGGUAGUAAUACUGAGUUCAGAUUCGUUACCGGGAAUUUAUGAUUUGUGUUGUACCAGUAGCUUCUUACAUUAGAAAACGUAAUUUGCAAACCGUUCCCUGAACAGUUUUCCAGUAAUAACUGCAUGCAUAAAUAAGAACAAUAGUACUAAAUAAAGGCCAAUUGUUGGGUAUUCAAUUAUGUUUUCCUUGAUUUAAAAAAAAAUCGUCGGCUUACUUCUAAAACCUCGUAAGUCCAGAUUUUCCGAGUUUUAUAUUCCGGAUAUGUUUGGUGUAUUUUUUUUUUCAUUUUUUCAAGUGCAUAUGCUGAUAAAACCUCGUAAGUCAACUCUACUUAGUCUCUUUUCUAUUCACAAAUUAUAAAACCUCGUAUCUUUGUCAGUCGAAACCGUUCUCCAAAAGCUCAUAAGUUCUCCUGUAAAAUUGACUGAAAUGUAGUUACGAGGUUUUAGAAGUAAGCCGACGAAAUACUGCUUUUAAAAUAGCUAUCAAAAUUUUAAAUUAUUUUCGUAAGCAAACUUCAUAUAUGCAAAAAUAACCAUAGCAAUGUGUUGUAAAAAUGUACGGUAGUUUUCUUGUGGUAUUACAAACUAUUUGUUGGCAACAGGUUUGUAAAAGCAAAUGAAAUACGUAUUUGUUCCUGUGCUCGAGGAAUGUCCCGCAACACCGCCGCACCUCGCGAGCACGCCAGAUGGUCCUCGGAGACGCUCUGCUCGGCCCGGCAGCGGCAAGUGCCCAAAGUGCAGGCGACGAACGGCGGCUCGCAGUCCGCCGGCGACGAGCACGCCUGCCCGUACUUCCGCAGCGCUGCAAGAGAACCGCCGUCACUACUCACCAACACUCCUACUCACAGACACACACGGCAUCCUUUAUGGGACGUGAAUACGUCUUUAAAAUUGCUCCCACAGUGGGAGGCAAUUAAAAAAAAAAAAACGAACGAUAACAAAAAUCGGGGGAUACAGUUUGGUGUUUGAUCUAUCAUCUCCAUCCAAAAUUUAAUUACACCACUGGAAUUCUAAAGGAUCAAAGAAUUCGUUACGCUAAAGGAGGACUGCGACGCAUCUCGCGCGCGGUCGAGGGGGAAGCGCUGUCAUUUUGAGGUCAUUUUGCUGCGUUUCGAGAUUUCCAUUUAGUAUAACUAUUGACUCGGAGAAACUACGACGUUCGUUUGUGUUUCAAUCAGCAGCUCUCGUCAACAUCUAUCGAUUGCAUGUAUAAAACAUUAGUGUAAAAUAGUUACAGUGAAUAUAUAUGGUGAUAAUUUAAAAAAUAUGAUCAAAAAUAUAUGUCAGCCUAUACGCGUCAAAAAAGCCAAAUCCAAAUACAGAGAUCGUAUACGGUUGGAAAGGGAUCCCCAAAAGCAAUCGAAUGAUACCAAUAAAACACCAUAUGACCGAGUGAAGCAGUGCCGUGAACGUAAAAGAAUGAAUGCGGCCGAGCGGAUCAACGACGUUGCCAGUACAUCUACAGCUAGGCGGUUGAAAUUAUGCAAAAUUAUGCUUCUACAUCAACACGUAUUCACGUACAACACACGGCCGUGUCUAUGACACAGACACAUCCCAUUUUUUUAGGCCUGUUAUACAAUUUCCUAGCCCGAUAAUGAUUGUCUAAAAAAUUGUGAUUGUUGAUUUUUAACACCUAUGAUUUAACUUGUAACAUUUAAAACGAAAAACUUAGGGUGCAUGCGAUCGAUAAUAUUAAGGUGUGUAGGGAGUAGCUGUUGCACACAAAGUUUAUAUCAUUUGCAGUGCAAUAAAAUUGUCAAGUAACCUUCAUGCAUCAUUUUUCUAUUGCAUGUGCCCCACGAGUUUCGUUUUAAAUCUUUCCAGUUUAUUAACUGGUGUUAAAAAUCAACAAUCACAAAUUUGUAGGACAAUCUGUUUGGGUUUAAGAAUCUACAGGGCUAGGUUGAUAAUUAUAUACUUUUUAGUCAAUUAUAAAAUAUAUUUUUAUAUUAGUUUAUCUGCUUUGUAAUAUUGUAUGUGUGUAAUUUUGUAAUUAAUUUAAUUUUUAUUACAGAUUAAGUAUCUGAGUUUGUUCAUUAACCCAUACAGAUUCUAAUGAAAAGUUGUAUUUGUGAAUUUUAAUUGCCUAUCAAAAUACUUGUAAUGUUUAAAACUAAAAAUGAGGGGCUUUUGCACUAUAUAAUAGUAAGUAUACAAGCCGUGAUGGAUGCACCACAAUACAAUGCAGGUCCAAUUCAAUGCAACGACAUUUAUUGACGAAAUUCUAAACAAAACUGUUAUCAGAGCCGUUAGUUUGCUAGUCGCCGUGAGCUUUGUUAAACUUAUUGGUCUCGCGAGGGAGAAGGAUAGGAAGUUGCCAGACCUUACUAUAUGUGGCGGACAUUUCUCCUUCCCUGUGUGCGUGAUAGACACCGCAUGCGGGUUCUGCGUUAUGCAUCCCGUAAUACUGCACUGUGCUGCUCGUAGCUUAAUGACACGAAAAAGGGGGCUUUGUUAAACAAAAAUUUGUAACAAACAAACUAAAAAUAUAGUGAGUUAAUAUUGCAUUGUCAUCCAGCCCUCAGUUAUGGUCAAAGGUUUUGAGUCGCUAUCACAUCUGGAAGUUAGUUUAAAAUCGAUUGAAAAUUUUGUACUGAACAAACACAGAAAUAAAACGAACAAAUAAAAUAUUUUUAAAGGGAAGUAUUAAAUAUUUAAACGGAGAAGAAAUUUAUAAUUUAGAAAUCUAGUAUGCGCUCUUUAUGUCAUAAAUCAAGGUUUAAUAUUCAUAUCAAUUGUUGAUAAAAAACCAAAAUAUGUUUAUAAUAUCAUAGUUUUAAACGUUAAUAACGUUAAUAACUCUCUUAGACGAUCAGAAUGAAUUAUACGAAUAUAAAAUUCAGGUAUUAUAAACUUUACUAUAAAUUUAUAAAUCGACUACAGUAAAAUUUUUUGAAGAUCUGCGAGAAUAAAUUGAAACAAGUUUGAUGAGAUAAUUCCAAAUGAUAGUCACUGGUCAAUAACUGCCAAAUGUCACUAAAAAUAAAUAAAAGGUCUAGCAGUACCUUAGUUAACGUCAGUAAAAAAGAAGUAUUUUAAAAGUGUGUUCUCCUCUGGAAUCUGAUUAAAUUUUUAGUGCUAAAACUAAUCUCUGGAUGGACUUCAAUCUAACUUGCGUUCUGACAAAUGAGUUAGUUGCAAACCUCCGAACGCUUUGGUAGAAUAAAAGCCAGCUGCGCAGCUGAAACCACUUCCAUUGUGAUUCAAAUCCACGAGCCCGGAUCUCAUGCAAUUUAUUUCCUCCCCGUUUUCAACUAUUUACAGUUUCAUAUUUUGGCGCACAGCGUGGGUUCUAUCCCCGAUUGCCACCCCGCUAAAUUUAUCUGAAAAAAAAAUAGCAUCUAAUAAACCCUUGUUUAUUUACAGCAGAUAGAAACUUAGUUCUGUGCUUCAUACACAGAGGUUAAGCGCGUCACUCCGUCUCCUAGGACUCUCCGCGGCCUGUGGUUCGAAGCCCAGCGAGGUAUACGGGUCACUAGGCACGCUAGUGGGUGGCACACCUGCUGCGGUGUUGGCUGACCAAGCAACUGGCACAAUGUAUUUCUCAUGGGACUAUGAUUUUGUGGUGGCUUUUUGUGGUGGCUUGUCAAUCUUCAGGAUUCGGCCAUAUUCGGGCGUUUCCGCCGCUCGUUGACUAUAUCCAGGACCUCGGUGGUCAUUUUAGAUGACUUCACAUCCGCCAUCUUGGAAUCCACCAAUUUUGAACAUUUGUAAUUAUUUAGCUAGAAAUACAGAAGAAAUUAUGAAAUCCUCAAAAAAUUAUAUUUUUAAAAUAAUUAUUGAUUCCAUUGAUUUCUGUCCUUGGUUCGAUCCUUGACUGAUGCAAAAAAAGUUAAUUUCAGUUAAAAAAAAAACAUUUAUUCAAUAACAUUUGAAAAAAUCCUAAAUACUGCUUAAAAUCCUUAUCCACUCGCUAUCAGUAAGCUACCGAAGCCAUUUUGGCCGCCAUAUUGGAAAUUCGUAAUUUCUAACCUAGAAAUUCGGGAAAAAUUCCAGUAGCUAUCAUCAAAAAAAUCGUAUGUUAAAUUAAUAAAUGAUUCGUUCGAUAUCCAUCCUAGUUUCGAUCCUUACUCAAUUCAAAAAGUAUAUAUAAUUGAAUUACAAUUACCAAAAAAAUGUUCGAAAAAUAAAAAAAAAGUAACAAAAAAUUAUUACAUAAUUUCUACAAGUACAAACAAAAAAAUUACUAACUUUUCUCAAUUUCUGAAGGCUUAAUAGAAGACAAUGCAAAACCUUUGCAUGCCUUGUAGUAUGUUUACAGGACAUCUCCAUAUGAGAGUCCAUUAACCAGUCAUCCAUUUGGUAGCUAGGAAUGUCUAUUCAGUAGCCAGGCACGUAAUCAGCAGCCAGGUACAUUCAGUUUAUGGCAAACAUGUCCAGUUAUCAGCUAGGCAUGUACUGUCAGCGACAAUACACGACCAGUUUUGGGCUAAACACAUCAUGUUGGUGUAAUGAAAAGCACGUCCAGUAGGUGACAAGGCGCAUCCAGUUGGUGGCCAGGCGUUUCUUCGAUGGUCAGGCACGUACAAUAGGUGGUAAGGCACGACGUCCAGUCGGUGGUCAGCCACAUCCAGUUGUUGGCUAGACACCAUUCUGUGGCCAGCCAAGUCAGAUAGUUUGGACAGACAAGUCCUUUUGUUGAUCAGGCGCAUACAGUCAGUAGCCAAGAGUUGUAAUAUUUCAAUGUAUAUAAUGAUUUUGGGUACUUUAGAUGCCUAUUUUAAUUUUAUUCACUGCAUGAAAUAGUGUUUUGCACAAAUUUUAAUUCGCCGUUUGUACACUGUAUUUUUUUUUGUAAAUGGAACAAAAUAUUCAUGAUAACUACACAUUUUUUUAAUUAGUACAUUUACAUGAAAUAAACUACAUCACUAGAUCAUCACUAAAACAACGACAUCGCAGUAAUACUGUAUUCGUAUUCUUACCUGGCAAUUUAUGAUUUGUGUUGUCCCAGUACCUCCAAUAGUUAAAGUUAUUUGUAAACCGUUCCGUGAAUAGCUUUCCAAUAUUAAAUUCACACUUUAAUAGGCAUAAUAAACCAAAAUUAAGUAAAAUUAUUAAACAUAAAAAUUAUCGUUUUCAUAGUUUAAAUAAUUAUGCUUGAAUGAAAAAUCAAUUAAAAUAUAAAAUUAUGUGCCAAUUUUUGUAAGAAAUACUCAUUAUUAUCUUAAAAAAAACUUACGUCAUCUAUACAAAAAUAACCAUAGCCAUGUGUUGUACAAAGUUACAAUAUUUUCUUGUACUAUUACGGACUAAUUCUUGGCAACUGGUUUCCAAAUGGGUAUUUCGUAAAAUUACAGUUGUUUAUGUGGUCUUUGUAGUAAAACUCUUCAUUUCAUUACGUCACUCAUAAAACAAUUAAAACUUCAUUUUUCCUAAGUUAUGAAAUAUUUAAGUUUCUAUGAUUUUAAGGAAAGCGAAAUUGAAUUUGUUUUUGUAUGAUCUACUAAACAUGAAGUGUUUUUCGACAAAAGCUACAUAUGAACGGUUAGUUUAAAACUGUAUAUUGCACGGUCAUAAUUCAUGUGAUUAAAAAUUAGUUAAACUUAAAUAUAUAAAAAUGCAUUAAAAUCACUUAUGAAAUUUAAAUGACCAUUUAUCAACAAUAAAUCGUUGUAAAAUCAUUGUUUGAUUUAUAAUCACGUUCAAAUAAAGGAAUUAAUGAAGCAAAAUAAUUUAGGAUACUAUCCUCUUAAGGGUCAGUUGAAACAAUAGACCCCACAAACAGGUGUCCUAAAAAAAUGUGAACGAGACUUCAGUACUCGCCAGAGAUAUAUAACUUUUACCCUCAGUAACGAGCAAAUACGUGUGUUCUCAAGUUGCAAAUGCACUUGCAAUGCGAUAAUAGGACACGAAAUUUAACGCAGGACUCCUAAAAAUAUCGCCGAGAUUAUAAAUAUAUACAUAAAUUGUGUUUUAAACUACAUUUCUGAACGCGAAUCACAUGCAGUUUCCACACCCACCGCUAUAAUUCGUUGCCGAAGCAGCUACGUCGACUAUUGAAUCAUUUGACUAGCAUAGUGACCUAUUAAACUAUGUAAUAAAACGCCUCCGAUAAAAGCGAAAAUGAAAUAGAAAAACUUCUAAACCCCGGCUUUGGACAUUAUUUUCGACUAGGAAUUUUACUAAAAUACUGUCAAUUUUGUUAAAAUUCAUUAAAAGGUUAAUACCGUAAAUUAUCCCUUUGGCUUUGUGAACUUUGGUUUGCGCCAUCCAUCACAGAUGACAGCACCGUGGUUAUACAUUUCCGUUCCAUUCACGAAAUCACUCCCACAAAAUGCCGUACGCCGAGCGCUAAGAUUAUACUUAUAAAAAAAUAUUUAAUCCCCACCAACAAAUGGAAAGUAUUUGAAAGCAAACCGCGGGUAAAGAGGUUUUAUCUCCCCCUCCCUCCUCCCGGGAGCGAGCUCGCGCGAGUGGUCUCACCUGACGUGCAGGUCUUAUUGUCCUGGGAGAGGCGGUGGUCGGCCGGGCACUUGCACAAGUGCUGCGAGCACACGAAGGGCGCCUCGCACUCCGGCGUGGACGAGCAGGCCUCGAGAUACU